rnacentral:rRNA from 1 species
CGCUCAAUGAAAACUUCCCAUAUUGAGUGGAACCUGCCCAGUGAUUUAUAUUUAACGGCUGCAGUACUCUGACUGUGCAAAGGUAGCAUAAUCAUUUGCCUUAUAAUUAAAGGCCAGUAUGAAUGGUUUGACAAGAAUGAUACUGUCUCUCAUAGAUUUUAUAGAAUUUGGUUUCUAGGUGAAGAAACCUAGAUAUAAUUAAAAGACAAGAAGACCCUAUCGAGCUUGAAAUAAUUUUUCUGUUAUAAUGAUAACAUCAUAUUCAGAAAAAGAUUUUGGUUGGGGCGACUAAGGAACAAAAAAAGCUUCCUAUAACUGGUAUCUACUUUUAAGUUUUGAUCCAAAAGAUUUGAUUAACAGAAUUAGUUACCGUAGGGAUAACAGCAUAAUCUUUUCUAAGAGUUCUUAUCGAAGAAAAGGUUUGUGACCUCGAUGUUGGACUAGGGUACCCAAAAAGGUGCAGAAGCCUUUAAUGGUUGGUCUGUUCGACCAUUAAUACCCUACA